rnacentral:rRNA from 1 species
UACGUAGGGCGCAAGCGUUGUCCGGAAUUAUUGGGCGUAAAGAGCUCGUAGGCGGCCUGUCGCGUCUGCUGUGAAAUCCCGGGGCUUAACCCCGGGCCUGCAGUGGAUACGGGCAGGCUGGAGGCAGGCAGGGGAGAACGGAAUUCCCGGUGUAGCGGUGAAAUGCGCAGAUAUCAGGAGGAACACCGAUGGCGAAGGCAGGUCUCUGGGCAUUAACUGACGCUGAGGAGCGAAAGCAUGGGGAGCGAACAGG